rnacentral:rRNA from 1 species
UACAGAGGUCUCAAGCGUUGUUCGGAUUCAUUGGGCGUAAAGGGUGCGUAGGUGGCGCUGUAAGUCGGGUGUGAAAUUUCGGAGCUUAACUCCGAAACUGCAUUCGAUACUGCGGUGCUUGAGGACUGGAGAGGAGACUGGAAUUCAUGGUUUAGCAGUGAAAUGCGUAGAGAUCAUGAGGAACACCGGUGGCGAAGGCGGUUCUCUGGGCAUUACCUGACGCUGAGGAGCGAAAGUGUGGGGAGCGAACAGG